rnacentral:rRNA from 1 species
UACGUAGGUGGCAAGCGUUGUUCGGAAUUACUGGGCGUAAAGCGCGCGUAGGCGGCUCUUCAAGUCAGGCGUGAAAGCCCCGGGCUUAACUCGGGAACUGCGCUUGAUACUGUCGAGCUAGAGUGUGGAAGGGGCGAUUGGAAUUCCGUGUGUAGCGGUGAAAUGCGUAGAUAUACGGAGGAACACCAGAGGCGAAGGCGGAUCGCUGGGCCAACACUGACGCUGAUGAUGCGAAAGCUAGGGGGAGCAAACGGG